AUAUAUAUAUAUAGAGAGAGAGAGAGAGAGAGAGAGUGUGAGGCUAUUAUGCUUCUGGAAGCACAGAGCCUUCCGUGCUUCCAGGUCUUUUUCAGAUGUUGCGAUUUUCGAAUCGUCGAUCUGCUCCGUUAAACUUGAUCUAGAGUAUUUGAAGUACUUAGAAAAUAAAUUUUAUAAUUUUUCGAUAUCAUUUGCCUAGUGAUCGAAGGGACUCAAAAUUAAUAAUUUUAAUGGCCGUGGUGAGCCGUUUGCAAAUUUAACGGUAUAGAAAUAUCCAAAUCAUGUGAAAUUUUGGUAAAAAAUUUUUUAUACUAUAUAAAACAAGAUUAAUAUUUUUGAUCUAAAAUUUUAAUGUCAUAUUAUCAUAUUUUGUAAGAUUUUUAUUUUCAGCUGUUGAUUUUGAGCCACUUCGAUCACUAGACAAAUGAUUUCAAAAAAUCACAAAAUUUAUUUUCUAGAUACUUAAAAUACUCUAGAUCAAGUCUAACAGAGCUGAUUGUUGAUUCGAAAGUCCCAACAUCGAAAACGACUUGGAAGCACGGAGCGCUCCGUGAUUCCAGAAGCAUACUAGACGCGCUCUAUAUAUAUAUAUAUAAUUAGGCUACUAUACUAUAAAUAGUACUAAGUUAUUGAUGCUAUUAGAUUUUUGGCUCUUGGAUGAAGGAAUGUAUGAUUAAGAUGAUAGUGGUUCUCUAGAAUUGCGUGGGUAGUUGGUUAAAUAGUAUGAUAUAAUGUAUAAAAAUGGUCAAAGGGGUAGAUCUAAUGGCAGAAAAUUUGAUAGCACCAAGCGCUUGGGGCUAUUGAUAGCAUACAAUCGGACUCUCUCUCUCUCUCUCUCUCUCUCUCUCUCUCUCUCUCUCUCUCU
rnacentral:lncRNA from 1 species